rnacentral:rRNA from 1 species
UACAGAGGUCUCAAGCGUUGUUCGGAUUCAUUGGGCGUAAAGGGUGCGUAGGUGGCGCCGUAAGUCAGGUGUGAAAUUUCGGAGCUUAACUCCGAAACUGCAUUUGAUACUGCGGUGCUUGAGGACUGGAGAGGAGACUGGAAUUCACGGUGUAGCAGUGAAAUGCGUAGAUAUCGUGAGGAAGACCAGUGGCGAAGGCGGGUCUCUGGACAGUUCCUGACGCUGAGGCACGAAGGUCAGGGGAGCAAACGGG